GGACAUCAAGGCACUCAGCUGUGCUCCUCCACUGCUGUCUGUUCAAUCCAAGAGCCAGGGAUCCAUGGGCCAGGUUCUCAGGCUCUUGCGAAGUAAGGUACAUCCUAAAAUCCCUCUGGACGAUGAAGCGUUUGACCUGAUCUUGGUGGACAUCACGGUGCUCCUGUAAAUGUAGAUGGCAGUAGCAGUGACGUGACGUGACGUGACGUGACUUAACGUUGCGUGUUACCACUGCGUAUUGAGCGUCGUUUUUCAUUACGAACAUUUUCUCCCACGAGUCUCUCUGACCCUCAAAAAGCAUCCUGCUUGUUUUGAGUUUCUGUGACUUUGUUGUAUUUACUAAUCUGUCUCUGCAGAACAACACUAUACCAACAGGCCAAGGCCAUGACAACACCCGUGAUUCCAGACGGUGUACUACAAAUUAAGACGUUCUCCACAAAGAUCAAACUUACACUAGUAAGUGCAGAUUCGUUUUGUAUCAGACCAUAAUGCUUAUUAAACCAAAGGUAAUUGAAAUGUACGAAGCUGCGCAACUUUUUAACUAAAGCUUUUAUAUAUGUACUAAAAUAAUGUUUGUUAACAUUAUUGUUAUAAAGUUUAUAUAACUCCUGUUUUGUUGAAUAUUACGUCAUGACUUGCUUUUCUAGCAUUCACAUGGCAUGUGCACAUCAUGAACUAUGCUAUAAAUUCACGUGCUGAUAAAAGAAAGUCUUGGUUGAAUGCAGAUUUGUAUUUGCAAGAUUAUGAGUCACUUUGUGACAGUUGCUGUAGUUUUCACUUUUGUAUGCGGUUGUUUUUCUUAUAAACAGGUAGCAAUCACUCUGGAGUUAUACUGAACUCUUAUGAUGUAAAGUUUAAUCUGCUGGGGAUGGUCUUUGCCACACUAGGGGUCUUUGUCACAUCAAUGUAUCAAGUGGUUUCCUCUAAAGAGGAGCUGCAGAAGUUUCUCCAGAAGAUGAGGGAAUCCUCACUGCUCCUGCUGGAUAAAGGGCUAGAUCCACUUGGAUAUGAAAUACAGCCCUAGACAGUGUGUGGUUUGACAGUGUGUGGUUUUUUUUCUUGUGAUUCUGUUGUCCACAAUGCCUUUU